UUGAGGAGACCUUCUUCAAACAAUUGCUUGCAAUUGUUGUAGAAUGAUGGAACAAGAUGAGCACUCCUCUACAUCUUCUUGCCUAUGCAUUGGCACCAAAAUAUUAUAGCAAACAAUAUCUUGAUAUGCUGGGAAGGCUUCCACCAUAUAGAGAUUUAGAAGUGUUUGAUGGGUACAAGGCAACUUUCCUUAGACUCUUUCCUGUGAUGAUAUGCAAGAUUUGAUUUCAGAUUAGUUCAUCGAGUUUGUGAAUGUAAGAGGUCUAAGUAUUGAUGCUCUUCGUCAUCGAUUUAAGAAGGAUGCUCAUAGUUGGUGGUACCUCCAUGGCCAACGAUUCCAAUUGUUGCAGCACCUUGCAAUCAAAAUUAUAUCACAAGUUGCUAGUUCAUCUGCAUCAGAAAGAAAUUGGAGCACAUAUUCUUUCAUCCACUUAGUAAAGCGCAAUAGGUUGCGAUAAAAAAGAGCGGAUAACUUAGUAUAUGUGCAUUCCAACUUGCAUCUCCUUUCACACAAGCAGAAUGAAUACAAAGAAGGGGAGUCAAAGAUGUGGGAUAUGAAUGCAGAGCAUAUGGACUUGGACGCUUCCACUUCUUAGCAUGCAGUUGCAGCAUUGGAGGACUUGACAGGCAGAAUGUUAUUGGUGCAGCUGAUCCCAUUGGCCUUGGCAGUAUUUGUGAAUCAACUAAUGCCAUUGAAGAAGAAGAAGAAGAAUCUACCAGAUGAUUUAAAUUUAAUAUAAAUUUCCAAUUGUUGCAAAUUGAAUUUUGAAACAAUGAUACUGGAACUUGAUAUUAUCAUUUUAAUAUUUUGAUGUUGAACUUGAAGUA